GAUACUUAUGGUCGAAGUUCGUACACAGCUUAUUUUCUUUGAACCCACCACUAGUCCAGUACUGACCACUCAAUUAAUUAUUAUUGUUUCUUAAUUGGUAGACUGGUGCUUAGAACUGCAGCCAUGGAACACAAAAAAACAGUUUUUGUAAAAACAGAAGAAACAAAUGAAUGCGUUGUAUCUACUGUGGCAUGCUCAAUGGUCCAGUUGUACCCAUGGAGUGUGAAAGUAAAGGAAGAAUUGCAGGAGAUUGGAAAUCAAGAGAUUAAUGGGUACAACACAGCUACUUGCAUAUUAUGUGAUCGUACUGAGCGUGGCGCAAAAGUGGUUCUUGGAUUAGAAAUGGAAGCCAGUGAUAUCAACACUGAGCUACCAGUUUCAGAGAGAUGCAUCAAGGAAGAACAGGAUGAAACCAAGGAUCAAAAGAUUAUUGAAGAUUUACUUGGUGUUUGCAAAUUUUGUGAAAUUGAAGACAGAGCACUGGCACUUGCAUCACAAUCAGAUGGCAGUAAUGUUCUUGAACAUCCUUUGGAGGUGUUGUGGUCCACUGAUUGCAUCACUGAGGAUCCCAGACUAAAUUUUGGUUGGGAUGAAACUGAGAAUAAUAAUUCCGUGGAUGCUCUGCUAGAUGCCAUACUGGAAGCAGAGAGGGAGUGCUGCCCACCGCCUCUGCUGGUGCACAAGAAGGAUCUGAAUCCUGUAGAGUAUGAAGUGGUGCAGAAUGAUACAAAGCCUGUGACAGCAGUGUUGGUUCCACUUACACCCAAGAAAGAAUCAGAGGCAGCCUAAGACAGACAUGCACUAAAUAGUAUGCGGUUAAUGUUCCUUUCAUAAACAUACCAAGACCAGGACCUCUGAAGGAAUCAACCUCCAAAUUUUACAGGACAGUGGGGUGAGCCAUCAAUUUCUAUGAGAAAUUAAGGAAAUUCCAACAUUAAAUCAGAAAUUGACUAUUCUGAUGAAGUUGAGGCUUAUGUAACAGAGACAAGUGAAGAUGAAGACGUUUUGAACAAUGAGGAAUUAGUGGAAGAGGAUUCAUAUGCUGUGAAUGUUCUAAAGGUGAAUGAAAAUUACCAAUGCUACCAGUAGAAUGUUGUUUGAAGAUCUGGAGGUGUCUGCAGAUAAAUUUUGGUAGAAGUGGCACUCUAGCACAAGUACUUUCCCCUUGAGAGAGCAAUGCAGCAUGUACUAAAAAUAAUAACAGCUUGAAGGAAAAUGAAUUUUGUGGUUUCACAUGCAGUUCAUGGAAGCAGAUCUUUUCAUGAAAAUACAGGCACAUAAAGCAUGUUUUUAUUCACAUUCAUGGUGUGCUUCUGCAUAUAAUGUUGUGAGGUACUUUGCACCGUAGUGGCUUCAGCAAGCAUUUAAGAAAGAGUGAACAUAAUUGAGGUUGUCUGUAAUGAGAGAUGGAUUACACACUGCUCGUGAGAAAUAUAAAUGUGGUGAGAUUUGCAGAAAGAAAACUACAAAAUCGUAUACAAAAGUUUUUUCACUCCAAUCUGAUUGAGAAGGGAUCUUUAUCUUAAGUGUGUUGUAACAGCUUACUUAUAAAACUGAUGAAUAUCAGUUGUAUUUCUUUUGUAGUAGGCAGAUCUUGCUUUCCGUGUACCAUACUGCCGAAAUGCCCUGAAAUUGUGACAUUUGUGUGAAACCCUGAAUUAUGAUCAUAUUCAAGAAUCAAUCUUUAUUACAUAUUGGCGAAGGACCUCACAAUUCUGAUUUUGAUAAGAAAAUGUUUAUUGUGAGUGUAUGAUAAACUUCAGAAGCCACAUUAGCACAUCCUGGCAAAAGGCCACAUAACUGUGAAGUUUGAGGGAAAUCUUUUAUUGAGGAUUGUUAUACAUACUGUUGCAGUUGCGACACAAAUGUGAAGUUUGUGGGAAAUCCAUCACAGUGUUUCCAGUUCCAUCACAGUGUCAUGUAGUGUGAAGCGGCCUGUUUAAUACAUGCUAAUGAGAUGUCACACUAACGUGAUGUCCUUGGGAUAUAUAUUACAAAUUUUUGUAGCUUUCAGGGGUAGACAUUAACACCCACUGGUAAGAGACGUAACAUGUAUGUUUUGUUUAUGGAAGCCCUGUUGUCUUGUGAUAUCAAGACCCAUAUCUUUGUAUUUAUUAAAGAGUGACCAAUGUGAUAUUUAUAAGAGGUUGUUUUCAAUUCAUUGACAACUUAAGGAAAUGUGCAGUAGUUCAUGUGGGAGGUAGAGUGCAUGUUGGAUUACGUGACCUUUACCCAGGUAAUGUUAUCAGUGUACAGAAAGCUAUAUAUUGUACAGAUAAUGCAAGAAUUAAGAUUAGUAACUAUACGGGUAAAAUCAAACAAGUGCAGUUUAACUGAAAUUUGUUUAUUGAAGUCUGUAACUAGAUUGACAAUUCAGUAUACUGCAAGAGGCUAAACAGUGUGAUUAUUGUUAGUUAUGUUAUUUUAAAGUUUUAUUGAAAGCCAUGAACUAAUGUGCUGUGUGUAGUUUAUAGGUAGGAAAUUGUGUUAUCUUUCAUGUGGAAAUGUAAAUCACAAUUUAUAAUGCUAUAUCUGGUUACACAUCAGAAUGUGCAAUGAAAGAAAAUUUGUUAGUCAAGGUAGUUGCCUGGAACCAUAUGGCCACAUGUUAAAUAUUUGGUUGAUUUAUAUCAACUUGUCUGUUGCAGAGCUCUUAAAAUAUUUUGUUGUUUUUGAAAUUAUUUAUGUAUGUUGGAUUCUUAGUGUAAAGCUUUUAUUAUUUUGCUCUAUUUAUAAUCUUUGUUUCAUCAUUUGUUGGUUUGAUAAGCUUGUAAGCUGUACAGGUGUUCCAUGAUUCUAUCUUAGUUUUCAUUUUCUGUGCCUGUUGUUUGUGUUUUUUGACUUAGCAUCAGAUUCUCUAUAGACAACCAUACUAGAAUAAUUUACUCCAAUUCUCCUUACUCCUAUUCUGCCUGUAUCACUGUAAUAACGUUCGUGACUGCCUGUGUCUGGUAUGCGUUCUUUGUUCAAUAUUCUUCUAAUUACUGAUUUUACAAGAUUGAGGUUAUUAUAUUUUCAGUAUAUAAAAGUGCUCCUGAUGUUAGUCUAUCAACUGGCUUAGCAACAUAAACAGGCACAGUAUUUAUAUUGCCAUGUGAGUUAGCCAUUACAUUUUAAACUAAUUGUGGUUGUCCUUAGAAGAAAUAUAUAUCACAAUAUUAUUUCAAAUAAACAAUUUGUAAUACUAUUCAUGCCAAUGGGUCCAUGUCCCAUCUUGAAUUUACUCAUGCCACAGACUGGUUACUUGUGCAUGUUUCUGCAGAGUCCAAAAGCUCAUCCUCACACCCUAGCAGGUGGAGCAACUGUGCACACUUCUGAUUUUUGAUCCAGAGAGAUGGGUGACAGUGAAAUUUAUUAUGUUGAUAGUGGUAUCGAUAACUGUCCCAUUACAAGGUACAUAUAUGUGAGCCAUGUAUAUAUAUAGUAAUGUGGAAUAUUAAAGUCAGCCUUAUAUGGUGAACUCCAGCAUUGUUUGGGAUGAUGAUAAUUCAAAUCCAUGUCUGGCCUCCUUUGAAAGGUACCAGUGCAUUCCUUCCACAUUCUUAGAAUAUUAUGAGCAUGGGCUCUUCCUUUUUCCAAUGUUAUUGCAAUGUUCAGUAAUCAAUCCCAAUUCUCUACUAUUCUCUUAAUAGUACACAGUGCAGUUAAUUGGAUAUUUUCUUUGUUUUCAUUGAUGAUACUCUUAGAUAUUUCUGGUGAAUAUAAUACAUUUCCAAAAAGUAAUUGAAUUUGUUGUGUUAUAGUGAGAAUGCUUGGUAGCUGUCUAGUUAUCUUUGGCAUUUCUCAUCACAUCUAGUAGAGCUAUGAAGAUCCUGGCUCACUCUGUCAUGAAGUUGUAAUUAUUGCAUUGGAAAAAGUAGGGCUCGGGUAAUGACUCUGAAAGCAUUACGAAAUUGUGCGUGCAUCCCCUUCCUCUCUCAUGCCACUCCAGCCAAUCUGAGUGUAGUAUUAAAAUGAGGCAGCCAGUCAAAGAAUAGUCUCAAUAAAUAAACAGAUAAAAACUACAUCCAUCAUAGUGAAACCAGCCCAGCUGUGGUUCAUACAGCACCUCUGUUCUCUCCAGUUGCUGAGAGCAUAGUAUUAUAAUGAGGUGUAAAAUGGUGCCAAACCGAAGGAAUACAGCAAAAAAUUAUAUAAUCUCCAUGUGAAAUUCAAAGAUAUGCAUUAUUUCCAUGAAAGUCAAAGAUUUUCAUACAGAUUCAUGCCUCUGUAUUUCACUGGUGCAAUAUUAAAAUGAUGCAU